rnacentral:lncRNA from 1 species
AGCUAUUGUGAUGUUUGAGUGUUUUGUAAAUACAUGUCAGCAUGUUUGAAGUUAUUACUUAUCAGAGAGAGAUUGUUAGCAUCUUUAGUGUUUAAAUACAGUUUGCUAUGAUGCUGUUUUGCAGGCAGCUAAUGAAGAUAAGGAUCAGGAAGAAGAAAGCAGACCAUCCAUGGACUUAUUUAAGGCUAUCUUUGUGAGUUCGUCAGAUGAAAAAUCAUCUUCCUCUGAAGAAGAGAGUGAUGAAGAACAGCAACCAACUGCUUCAGUAAUAGAUACAGAAACCACCAAGCAAGUUGAUCUACCAGUCAGUUCUUCAUCUAAUGUACAAGAGAAUGUGGCUGCUGCAGCUGAUCCUGGUGUUUCUUUGUUGCCUGCUUCUACGCAGGAACUGGAUGCAGCAGAGGAAUUUGGACCAAAGUUGCCUCCAGCUUUUACUUCUGACCCUACCUGGCAACAAGAACCAAUGGUGCAAGCAAGUUUUCCUGGGCCUAGUAGGAAAGAAAAACAUAGGAAGAACAGAGAGAAACACAAGACUAAGAGAGAACACAAACACAAAAAGGAAAAGGUAUUUAAUUUAAAUAAACAGUUUACUGAUUCUCUGUUCUACCAGGCAGAAUUUUUUAUUAUUUAUGCUAGGUUGUAGAAAACAGAUAUACAGGGACUAGAUCUUAAGCAACUGAGUUCUGAGGUGUCUUGAAACCUGAACUUCAGAACAGAAAAUUAUCCAACUAGGGUGCUGCUUUUUCCAUAUAUACAAUGUGACUACAGAUACAAUAC